rnacentral:lncRNA from 1 species
UGUUUCUGUGCCUUCAGGUCCUCGUGGGUGAAUGGACGGAUGGCGGAACGAACCCGUGUGCUCCAGACACUGCUGCUAAGGAAACCACUGGGAACCAGAGACAGAAACCACUGCAUUACGCGGGCAGAUCUCAGAUCAGGGGAAUGGCUAGAGCAGAGGGCCACGUUCAGUGCUCCAUGAUGUCCAGGGGCCAACCUGGGGCAACGCAAGAGCUGGGGCUGGAAACACCUUUGACCACAGGCCUGGAGUCUGGGUUGGGUAGACCCAGAGGCCAGCUCCUGGGCCCCUGGGACAACGCAAGAAGGGACAGUGCAUUUACGCACUGAGGGCACAUGGUGAGCAGGGAAUUGACACUAAAGCCGAGCAGCAGUUGCUCUUCCUCUAACCACCGUCAUGCCAUAGUUCUACCCCCCUCCCCGCCCCAGCAUGUACAUGUGAGUUCCACACAAUUUGGCAAUCGUUGUUGAGGUUUAAGGAUCCUGAUGUGAGCAGGGCAUCUGUCUCCUCUAGAUGGUCAGCAUCACUGCAAAUACAGCAGCCUAAGCACCCUGGCAGUGGGCACUGUCUGCAAGUCCUCGGGUCCCCUGCUCUUGGUCACAUGAGCUAGCGCUACGGUGUCAGGUGGGCUGCAGGCUCUCCGGGGGAACCUCCUCACACUCCUCGGUCACAGAGGCCCUCGCUCCUGGGUGGCUGUAGAUGCGAGGUCCCACUGUCUUGUUGCUUUGGGUCUGAGACUCCUCUCAGGGCCCAGAGGCUGCCGGAGUGGGGUCUGGCUUCUCUCUCAACAAACCCUUCUCGGCCUUUAGAGCACGUGACUCCUCUCCUGCUGCUCACCCAAGAAAACUCCACUUUUAAAGUGGGAUCAGGUCGGGCCCACCUGAUACCCUCCCCAUCUUACUGUCACUGUGCCAUGACACCCCUCAGCGCAGGAGAAAAGUCCCAGCGACCAGCCGGGGGCACACACGGUGGGUUAGCAGGAACCCUUGAGGGCCAACCUGAGGAACUGUGCCUUCCACAGUCCACUGCCCGGCACCCAGCCUUUCACACCUAGCCCUGGGAUGGUCUUGAUUUUGUCACUGAGACAGGAUACGUGAGGAGAGCAACUGAGAAGAGGAAAAGUUGAUUCUGGCUUGUGGUUUCUGCCCAGGGUUGGUUGGCCCCGUGGCGCUGGGCCCGAAGUAAGGCAGGACAUCAUGGCAGAAGGCGCUCGGCCCGUGGAAACCAGGAAGCAGAGCUCAG